rnacentral:rRNA from 1 species
AACAAACGCUGGCGGCGUGCCUAACACAUGCAAGUCGUACGAGAAAGGGUCCUUCGGGGCCUGAGUAAAGUGGCGCACGGGUGAGUAACGCGUGGAUAAUCUGCCCUUCAGUUGGGAAUAACUCAUCGAAAGGUGGGCUAAUACCGAAUAAUGCUGUGAGACCUCGGUUGAUCAGCCAAAGAGAGCCUCUGCUUUCAAGCCCUCGCUGAAGGAUGAGUCCGCGUACCAUAGCUAGUUGGUAGGGUAAUGGCCUACCAAGGCGACGAUGGUUAACUGGUCUGAGAGGAUGAUCAGCCACACUGGAACUGAGACACGGUCCAGACUCCUACGGGAGGCAGCAGUGAGGAAUCUUGCGCAAUGGGGGCAACCCUGACGCAGCAACGCCGCGUGAGUGAGGAAGGUCUUCGGAUCGUAAAGCUCUGUCGGAUGGAAAGAACCGCAUAGGGGUAAACAGCCCCUGUGUCUGACGGUACCAUCAAAGGAAGCACCGGCUAACUCCGUGCCAGCCGCCGCCGUAAUAC